rnacentral:rRNA from 1 species
GACGAACGCUGGCGGCGUGCUUAACACAUGCAAGUCGAGCGGUAAGGCCCUUUCGGGGGUACACGAGCGGCGAACGGGUGAGUAACACGUGGGUGACCUGCCCUCAGCUCUGGGAUAAGCCUGGGAAACUGGGUCUAAUACUGGAUAUGACUCCACGGUGCAUGUCGUGGGGUGGAAAGCCUUGUGCGGCUGAGGAUGGGCCCGCGGCCUAUCAGCUUGUUGGUGGGGUGANGGCCCACCAAGGCGACGACGGGUAGCCGGCCUGAGAGGGCGACCGGCCACACUGGGACUGAGACACGGCCCAGACUCCUACGGGAGGCAGCAGUGGGGAAUCUUGCGCAAUGGGCGAAAGCCUGACGCAGCGACGCCGCGUGAGGGAUGACGGCCU